rnacentral:lncRNA from 1 species
GUUCGUACAACAAAGUUUACAUUAAAAAUUAUAUAAUUGUCCCGAAUAAACAGCUGUCACGGAUGCAAAGAGCUAUUGGAGAAACAAUUAUUUUAAUAAAAAUAUAAAUCUUUGUAAGAUCUAGUCAAAUAUUUAUAGUUUUUCACUUGCUUUCCAUCACGAUAUAAUUAACAAGAUGCUUUUUCAAACACAACCAAAUCACCCACCAUGACAGCAUUUUGUCCAAUCACAGAAAGGAUUUUCGAGCAUGCG